rnacentral:rRNA from 1 species
AGAUUGAACGCUGGCGGCGUGCUUAACACAUGCAAGUCGUGCGGUAACAGGCGUAGCAAUACGUGCUGACGAGCGGCGAACGGGUGCGUAAUACAUGGGAAUCUGCCUUUUAGUGGGGAAUAACCCGGCGAAAGCCGGGCUAAUGCCGCAUAAGAUCUUCGGAUGAAAGCGGGGGAUCGUAAGACCUCGCGCUGAUAGAUGAGCCCAUGCCGGAUUAGCUAGUUGGUGAGGUAACGGCUCACCAAGGCGACGAUCCGUAGCUGGUCUGAGAGGACGGCCAGCCACACUGGGACUGAGACCACGGCCCAGACUCCGUA